GACGGGUGAGUAACACGUGGGCAACCUGCCUGUAAGAUCGGAAUAACCCCGGGAAACCGGGGCUAAUGCCGGGUAAUACUUUUCUUCGCAUGAAGAUGAGUUGAAAGAUGGCUUCUCGCUAUCACUUACAGAUGGGCCCGCGGCGCAUUAGCUAGUUGGUGAGGUAACGGCUCACCAAGGCAACGAUGCGUAGCCGACCUGAGAGGGUGAUCGGCCACACUGGGACUGAGACACGGCCCAGACUCCUACGGGAGGCAGCAGUAGGGAAUCUUCCGCAAUGGACGAAAGUCUGACGGAGCAACGCCGCGUGAACGAUGAAGGUCUUCGGAUCGUAAAGUUCUGUUGUCAGGGAAGAACAAGUACCGUGCGAAUAGAGCGGUACCUUGACGGUACCUGACGAGGAAGCCCCGGCUAACUACGUGCCAGCAGCCGCGGUAAUACGUAGGGGGCAAGCGUUGUCCGGAAUUAUUGGGCGUAAAGCGCGCGCAGGCGGUUCCUUAAGUCUGAUGUGAAAGCCCACGGCUCAACCGUGGAGGGUCAUUGGAAACUGGGGAACUUGAGGACAGAAGAGGAGAGUGGAAUUCCACGUGUAGCGGUGAAAUGCGUAGAUAUGUGGAGGAACACCAGUGGCGAAGGCGACUCUCUGGUCUGUUUCUGACGCUGAGGUGCGAAAGCGUGGGUAGCAAACAGGAUUAGAUACCCUGGUAGUCCACGCCGUAAACGAUGAGUGCUAGGUGUUAGGGGGCUUCCACCCCUUAGUGCUGAAGUUA
rnacentral:rRNA from 1 species